GACGAACGCUGGCGGCGUGCUUAACACAUGCAAGUCGAACGGAAAGGCCCAGCUUGCUGGGUACUCGAGUGGCGAACGGGUGAGUAACACGUGGGUGAUCUGCCCUGGACUCUGGGAUAAGCCUGGGAAACUGGGUCUAAUACCGGAUAUGACCUUACAUCGCAUGGUGUUUGGUGGAAAGCUUUUGCGGUUCAGGAUGGGCCCGCGGCCUAUCAGCUUGUUGGUGGGGUAAUGGCCUACCAAGGCGACGACGGGUAGCCGACCUGAGAGGGUGAUCGGCCACACUGGGACUGAGACACGGCCCAGACUCCUCCGGGAGGCAGCAGUGGGGAAUAUUGCACAAUGGGCGCAAGCCUGAUGCAGCGCCGCCGCGUGGGGGAUGACGGCCUUCGGGUUGUAAACCUCUUUCACCAGGGACGAAGCGUGAGUGACGGUACCUGGAGAAGAAGCACCGGCCAACUACGUG
rnacentral:rRNA from 1 species